GCAAGUCGAACGGUAGAGGGGGCAACCCCUUGAGAGUGGCGAACGGGUGAGUAAUAUAUCGGAACGUGCCCAGUCGUGGGGGAUAACGUAGCGAAAGUUACGCUAAUACCGCAUACGAUCUAAGGAUGAAAGCGGGGGAUCGCAAGACCUCGCGCGACUGGAGCGGCCGAUAUCAGAUUAGGUAGUUGGUAGGGUAAAGGCCUACCAAGCCAACGAUCUGUAGCUGGUCUGAGAGGACGACCAGCCACACUGGAACUGAGACACGGUCCAGACUCCUACGGGAGGCAGCAGUGGGGAAUUUUGGACAAUGGGCGAAAGCCUGAUCCAGCCAUUCCGCGUGCAGGAUGAAGGCCCUCGGGUUGUAAACUGCUUUUGUACAGAACGAAAAGGUUUCUAUUAAUACUAGGAGCUCAUGACGGUACUGUAAGAAUAAGCACCGGCUAACUACGUGCCAGCAGCCGCGGUAAUACGUAGGGUGCAAGCGUUAAUCGGAAUUACUGGGCGUAAAGCGUGCGCAGGCGGUUAUAUAAGUCAGAUGUGAAAUCCCCGGGCUCAACCUGGGAACUGCAUUUGAGACUGUAUAGCUAGAGUACGGUAGAGGGGGAUGGAAUUCCGCGUGUAGCAGUGAAAUGCGUAGAUAUGCGGAGGAACACCGAUGGCGAAGGCAAUCCCCUGGACCUGUACUGACGCUCAUGCACGAAAGCGUGGGGAGCAAACAGGAUUAGAUACCCUGGUAGUCCACGCCCUAAACGAUGUCAACUGGUUGUUGGGUCUUUACUGACUCAGUAACGAAGCUAACGCGUGAAGUUGACCGCCUGGGGAGUACGGCCGCAAGGUUGAAA
rnacentral:rRNA from 1 species